GACGAACGCUGGCGGCGUGCUUAACACAUGCAAGUCGAACGGAAAGGCCCCUUUGGGGGUACUCGAGUGGCGAACGGGUGAGUAACACGUGAGUAACCUGCCCUUGACUUCGGGAUAACUUCAGGAAACUGGGGCUAAUACCGGAUAGGAAUCCUUGCUGCAUGGUGGGGGUUGGAAAGCUUCGGCGGUUUUGGAUGGACUCGCGGCUUAUCAGCUUGUUGGUGGGGUAGUGGCUUACCAAGGCUUUGACGGGUAGCCGGCCUGAGAGGGCGACCGGCCACAUUGGGACUGAGAUACGGCCCAGACUCCUACGGGAGGCAGCAGUGGGGAAUAUUGCACAAUGGGCGGAAGCCUGAUGCAGCAACGCCGCGUGCGGGAGGACGGCCUUCGGGUGGUAAACCGCUUUCAGCAGGGGCGAAGCUUGUGGUGACGGUACCUGCAGAAGAAGCACCGGCUAACUACG
rnacentral:rRNA from 1 species